rnacentral:rRNA from 1 species
GACGAACGCUGGCGGCGUGCUUAACACAUGCAAGUCGAACGGGUCUGCCCUGUUUUUUGCGGGGUGGGUCAGUGGCGAACGGGUGAGUAACACGUGAGUAACCUGCCCCUCACUUCUGGAUAACCGCUUGAAAGGGUGGCUAAUACGGGGUGUUCUGGCUGUGCCGCAUGGUGUGGCUGGGAAAGAUUCACUUUUGUGGUGUUUUGGUGGGGGAUGGGCUCGCGGCCUAUCAGCUUGUUGGUGGGGUGAUGGCCUGCCAAGGCUUUGACGGGUAGCCGGCCUGAGAGGGUGGGCGGUCACACUGGGACGGAGAUACGGCCCAGACUCCGGCGGGAGGCAGCAGUGGGGGGUAUUGCACAAUGGGCGGAAGCCUGAUGCAGCGACGUCGCGUGAGGGAUGGAGGCCUUCGGGUUGUGAACCUCUUUCGCCGGUGAAGAAGGUCCUGCUCUUUGUGGUGGGGUUGACGGUAGCCGGGUUAUGAAGCGCCGGCUAACUACGUG